rnacentral:lncRNA from 1 species
CUUAUAUACUCACAUGGCUACAACACAAAUUAUAAUAUUCAACACACCAAUCUACUCAAGGGACCAUAUAUUUUCAUGGAAUAACCCAUCCACACAAGACACCAUAGUAUUUCAUCAUCAUAACUCGGUCUACCCAAGGAACUAUCAUCCAUAUAUAAUUGUCAAUUUGCAUUCAAUAUGCAUAUGGACAACUAUAUGAAUAAGGAAUUUGAUCAGAACAAACCAAGAAAAAGAAGCAUCAAUUAAUGAUAAAGGCCAGGAAAAAGGUUGGGGAAAGCUAGCUCAGGAAUAAUUGAAUAUGAUGAUGUAAGAAACUCCCACUGUACCUUCUAGUGGAAAAAGUCAUGGGCAGAUAUUAUCGAAGAAGAGGAGAAGGGAAUUCACCCAAAGCAGGUAUCAAUUUUGGAAUACUUUGAUAUGUCUAAAGUGUAUAAUAAAGGGUUCAAAUUAGAAUAUGUAUCUCCUUCGAUUGAUGAAAAUAUUAUUGAGAUAGAACUUAACGACAUCAGUUUGAAAAUUAAUUAUUGGAAGAACUCAGUUUUCUGCUAUAUUAUGGGUGCAUACCCACUGUUUGUUGUAAUGCAAGGUGUUAUAUAGAGAUUGUGGGCUAAACAUGGGAUUAACAAGAUUUGCAUGCUAUGGAAUAAGAUAUAAUUAGUUUGAUUUAAUGAUACAAAGGGCUAGGAUGUUGUGAUAGAAGAGGGUAUUUACCAUUUUGAUAACAAACUUUUCACUGUGAAAGCUUGGUGGCCAAAUAUGGAAUUUAUGAGGAAGGAGUUUUUAAUAGUCCCAAUUUAGGUUAAAUUCCCUAGAUUAGUUUUCAAGUAUUGGAGUGCAAGAGGUUUGAGCAAGAUAAGGAGCUUAGUAGGUAACCAGUCAUGGUUGAUCAAUCUACUGAAAAGAAGAUUGGGCUUAAUUUUGUGAGAUUAUUGGUAGAGGUGACUAUGGAUUCUAUUUUACUAUAUGUGGUCAUCUUUAUAAAUGAAAAAGUUAGCUAGUGAGGCAAAAGGACCAAUAUAACUGGAAGCUAAUUUUAUGCAAUUAUUGUAGUAAAUAUGGUCAUUCUGAGGACAAUUGUAGGAAGAAGAAGACGGCUAAAAAAGUGGUGCUAAAUGUCCAGGGUCAAGUGUAUGUUAAACAAGGUACUAAAUCACAAAAACAGGGCAAAGAAUUUCAGGUGAAUAAGACUGAGAAGAUUCAAACUGUGACUGAGAGAGUCUAGACUGAGACUAAGACAGGAAAGAUUUAGACUGGACAAAUUCAAGGAAAGUUUACAGCUCUAGGAACUAUUUGGAUCACUCCUCAAAAUCAAAUUAGAGUGCCACAUGUCACUUCUCAGGUGGUUGAAAGUGCAAACUCAUUUGAAAUUCUGAAAGAAGGUAAUCAUGGAACUAUAACAGAAUCAAUCUCAAUUGGGAAAGAACCACCUAUUACCUCUUCAGGGAAUGGUUAAUCUCAUUUGUUGGAAUGUCCGGGGGCUCAAUGGCCCUAAUAAACAACAAAGUAAAGUUGUUAUGUAAUAAAGAAAAGAAAAAUUUUGUUGGUAUUUUAGGAACAAAAAUAAAGAGGAAUAAGUUUGAUGAAAUUAUGAGAAAGAUGUUUGGAAAUUGGGUUUUUCUAUCUAACCUUGAUAUCUAUUAUAAUGGGAGUAUCUUGAUUAUUUGGAGGCCUGACCUGUACAAGGUGUUGCAUGUCAAUUCUACUGCUCAAACUAUCACUUCUAAUAUGUUUUUUAUCCCACUAAAUUUGAACUUCCAGGUAAAUAUUGUGUAUGCUUCAACACUAAAGAAUAAAUGAGGGACUUAUGGUCUACCUUGACAGUAUUGAGCACAUGUACAAAACCUUAGCUAGUAUUAGGAGAUUUUAACUCUAUUCUCCAUAGUGAUGAUAGGCUUGGUGGUAAUCCUAUUACUUGGGAAAAAUUGAUGAUUUUCAUGAUUGUGUGGAUAUUUGUGGUUUUCUAGAGCACCCUCAUCAAGGAAAGCAGUAUACAUGGAGUGAUAAAUGAGAUAAUCAGAGAGUUUAUUCAAAAAUUGAUCGGAUUUUUACUAACAAUGUUUGGUUGAAUUAGAUGCCUAGUUGCAAUGCUAUAUACCUGAGGGCAUUAGUGAUCUUUACCCUAUCAAAAUCUCCUAUUCGGAUGAUAGACUAAUAUAGAGGACAUCAUUUAUGUUUUCCAAUACCUAACCUCAUCACCCUAGAUUUCAUGAAGUAUUGAGAGUUGGCUGGGAGAGAUUAAUUGAUGGGUGUCUUAUGUUUCAGAUAGUAAGGAAGUUAAAACAAUUGAAGAAUGAUUUGAAACUAUUAAAUAAGAAAACAUUCCAGAAUAUUGAAGUUGAGGUAAAGGAAGAUAGAGAGGAAUUUUUAAAGCACAAUCCUUACUACAACUCAAUCCACAAUGUCAGAUGUUACAGAGAGAUAAAAAAGAGAAAUAUUUGAAUUUUAAAAGAAGAUCCUUCCUUGAAAAAAGUUUCUUACAUCAAAGGGCUAAAGAAAGAUGGAUUAAACUAGGUGAUGAUAAUACUAGUUAUAUUAAUGUUGUUAUUAAGCAUGAGAAGUUACUGCAGUCAAUACCUCAAGUCAAAGAUGGGCAGGGUGAUUGGCAGAGAGACCCUGAUAAUAUUAUUUAUGUGUUUGUUAGUUACUAUAAAGAACUUCUUAGUUAGAAGGUUAUCCACAAAACUAGUGGUUUUAUUAGUUUUACUAGACAAGGGCCUACAUUAUUUUGAGAUUCAGAAAAGGGCAAUACUAGCCCCUUACGCUGAAAGUGAGGUUAAGACAACUUUGUUCCUUAUUGAUAGUAACAAGACCCCUAGGCUAGAUGGCUAUAGUAGUGGGUUUUUCAAGGCUUCUUAAGUGUUAUAGGGACUGAUAUAACUAAAGGCAUACUUUAGUUUUUUAGGAUUAUUCAACUACUAUAGCAAGUAAAUACUACAAAUAUUGCCUUAUUCCAAAAGUUGUUGAUCCUGAGUUUGCUACAUAAUUCAGACCUAUUGCUUAUUGUAAUGUCCUUUACAAAACUAUUUCCAAGAUGAUAUGUGUUAGACUAAGGGAGGAGGUAAAUGUAAUUAUGGCAGAGAAUCAAGAUGCUUUUGUACAAGGUAGAUCUCUUAUUCAUAAAUUCUUCAUUUGUCAUGAUUUGUUAAAGCACUACAAUAGAAAGACCUCACCUAGAUGUUUGAUGAAUAUAGAUUUAUGGAAAACCUAUGAUAUGGUGAGUUCGGAGUUCUUACAAGAGGUGCUAGUAGGUUAUGGAUUUUCCUCUAAUUUGGUGCAUAUCAUUAUAACUUAUAUACCUUUUUCUCACCUUACUAUCAAAGUUAAUGGUGAGGUCAUUGUUACUUCCUAGGAAAUAGACGCUUAAGGAAAGGAUAUUCAAUCUCUCCUUCACCUUUUGUCUUGAUCAUAGAAUAAUUAUCAAGGACUUUGAAGAGCAUGAGUGAUUUGUCUGACUUUAUGUUUCAUCUUAUGUGUAAUGAUUUGAGACUGACUCACUUAGUCUUUGCUGAUGAUCUCAUGAUAUUGCAAAAUAUGAACUGGGUCAUUGGCGUGAUGCGCCAAUAUUGUAGUCCCUUACUGGAAUCGGACAAUUAUUAUUUAGACUCGUGCUAGUGAACCAAAUAACGGUGUUUAACUACUGAAAUUAAAAUUGCCAUAAUUUCUUACCUUAUUAUCGGAGUUAGGCAAAUUUUAUAUCAUUGGAAAGUUAAUUGAAUUUCUUACACAAUGACAGGCUCUAAACUGAUAAAUAAUGGGAAUUUCAAAAAUUAUAUAUAUGAAUACUCAUGUAUUGGGACUAAAAUCAUGCUAGGGAAAUAUGUGGUAUUACAAGUCCUCAUCGUGUCGCAGUGACAUAUUAAUCCAUAUUCUAGUUAUGAAUUUAAAUGUCUGAGGGGAAAUUAUGUCUUUUCCCUCAACCUAAUUCAUAAAUUCACGACUUAAAGCUUUAGUUAGGGCAUUAUUUGCCCAUCUUCUCUAAUUUUCUCUAAAAAAUAAACCCUCUCCUCCCUUAAGAUCAUUAAAUUCCAUUACUUUCCCCCAAGAAAACCAAGAAUUUAAGAUUCCAAAUCCAAGAAAAUUCAUGAAAGCAUCAAUAUUGGUGUUUCUCUUUCAGACUUAAUAGUUUAAGGUAUGUGUGAUGUUCAUCCACGGACCCUUUUCGCCCAUUGAGUUCAAUAAUCCCUUUUUAUGUUUUAAAUUAUGAAUUUUACAUGAUUAAGUUGAAUUAUGUCCAUAAGUAUCUUAAAAUUUGAUUUCAAAAUAUGAUUACACGUAUUUUCAAUGGAAUGAGCUAGUGCAUAUUUUGAAUAUUGAACUCUUGUAAUUUAAAACCUUUGUUCAUUGUUUUAGUAUUGAAACUAUGUUUGUCAUCGCAUGCUUUACCCAUUCCUAUGCUUAAGUUCAUGUUUUUUAUGUGUUUGAUAAAAUUCCUAAGUUUUGGGUUUUUUAACAAUGAUCCCUUAUUAUGGUUUUUAAAGUUAUAUAUGCCCUUAUUAUUAUUUCUAUUCAGUGUUGGAGGGUUAUGAACACCUGAUACUGAGUUGUUUAAAAAAUUCAGCAUUUUUAGAAUGAUUUUAGAUAUACAAUUAGCAUUAUCAUUUAGUCAGUUAUUAUGAUCAGUUGUUUGUUCAGUUAAGCUUAGUUCAGUCCAGUAAAUAGUGUCUUUUACUUGGGAGUAAAACUUGGCACCGAGUGAACAUAGGGAAGAUUUCUCCCCAGUCAGUUAGGCAUAAUGCACUUGUCUCCCCCAUCAGUUAGGCAUGAGACGUUAGUAGUAGUCCCUAAGUUCCAAACCUAUGGUGCCAGCAUAAACUUUGAGGGGUCCCUCAUUAGUUAGGCAUUACAUCCUAGUCCUUUGGGAUAUCAGAUUAGUGGAUCCACACAACCAAGAUUAGUACCCGUGUCACGGUACUGACACCCUUCCAACUGGGGUUAUAGGUUGGACCCCAAUAAUAUAUUUGGGGCAUGUCGAUUGUAGCUAGCUCCCAUAGUCUUAGUACAGUAUUCAACAUAGUUUCAGUUCAUGUUUGCUUAACCAAAGUAUACAGAUUCUCAUCUAUUUAGUUAUCAGAUUUUAUUAUUUUAGUUUACAAAUUAUUUAAGAAAUAUAUAUAUUCUUGGUCUUUCAUUCUCAGUAUUUCAGUUUUUAUGCAUGCUUACUCAGUUAUCUCAUAUUAUCCAGUCAGUUAUUAUUUCAUGCAUAGUUAGCCUAUGUAUAUCGGCCUAACCUCAUCUCAUGUACUAGCAUAUUCAAAGUAUUGUUCGCAUGUUUUCUUUGCACUAUGAUGUUUUAUAUCAUAGAUUUGGGUGCUUAGUUUCCUGAUUGUAGUUAAACAUCCUAGCCUUACUCAGUCGCAACAAUGGUGAGUCCUCAUCUUUUGGGGACAUGAUGGUUUAUUUUUGUCAUUUAGUAGUUCAGUACAUUCAAUCAGUCAGAUUUUGUUGGCGACUUAUACCAUCAACUCCUCAGUCAGACAGCUGGCUUUUUCGAUAAUCAUACAUUCACCAAGAUAGUUAUUCAGUUACCAGAUCUUUCAUUAUUAUCAGUUAUUUUAAAUUUGAUAGUUAUACUUUUUGUAUUCAGAUUGGCUUGACUAUGUUUCUUAGUAUAUCUUUCGCAUAUAUGUUUUGUUGCUAUUAUACUCAGUGCUCACAAAAGGUACCAUCUUAUGGUUUAGAUUGUGAUCACUUGUGACCAUAAGCAUCGUUGUCGUGACUAGGGUUAGCCUUGGGUCAUGAAAAAACAUGUUAUCAAAGCCUAUGGUUUCAGAGUGUCCUAGGGAGUCUGAAAAUCCGCGUUGAGUAGAGUCUUGUGCAUAGGUAUAAAGCGCACCACACUUAUGGCUAAGAGGCUACAAGACAUUUUAUGAAAAGUUUACCUUCUUUCAGUAUGCAAGUCAUGCGAAUAAGAAUAAGCUCUAUUAAAAACUCUCUUUCUGUCUUAUUCUUUCUUCAAUUUAUAGACAAUGCAACCCAAAAUAAAUAAUGGAAGAAGAAAUAUAAAUCAGCCCACACCUUCACCUAUUUAGGAAUAUCCCAUGAAUGAGCACGUCUCUCAUGCUGAGUUUAGAGCUGCAUUAACUACCUUAGCUCAUUCAGUAGUUACUCAGAACAAUUAGUAGGCUGUUUCCCCAGCUAAUCCAGUGGCAAAUACAACUGCAUCUAGGAUUUGAGAUUUCAUCCAAAGGAACCCCCCUUUAUUUUUGGGAUCCAAGUCUGAGGAGGAUCCAUAGGAAUUUCUUCAUAUGGUUCAGAAGGAGACGUAUAUCAUAGGUGUCACUUUGAGUGAGAGUAUAGAGUAGGUUGUUUACCAGUUGCAAGAUAUAUCUUACACCUGAUAUAAGUAGUUGAAGGAGGACAGGGGUGCUGAGGUAGGGGCUGUAGAGUGGGAGAAGUUUUCCACAACCUUUUUAGAUAAGUUCUUUCCUUUAGAGUUGAAGGAAGCUAAGGUACUGGAUUUUAUUAAUUUUAAGCAAGGUAAUGUGAGUGUGAAGGAAUAAUCUCUUAAGUUUACUCAGUUAGUAAGGUAUGCUCCUUCGAUGGUGGCUGAUAAUAGGUCUAGAAUGAGUAAGUUUGUUUUAGGUUUAUCUUAUAGUAUGGUCUAGGAGUGUAGGACCGCUAUAGUGAUUUUGGAUAUGGACCUAUCUAGGCUUAUAGUUCAUGCUUAGUAGAUUGAGGAAAAGAAGCUUAAGGAGAAAAAGAGAGAGAAUAAGAAGUCCAGAAUAGAUAGCUCUAAUUUCUCUUAGCCAAGGUCAGAAAGUGGUAACAGUUGUCAAUUCUAUCAAAAUUCUUUAGCUCCAUCUCUAUCUUCAGCUAGUGUGCCAGUUCCAAAGUUCCAGAAUAACAGUCGGGAUAGAGCACCAAGUUCUAAAUCUCAGGGUAUCAUGAAUAGUAGUCGUACUAAUCCACUCUACGGGAAGUAUGGCAGGAAUCAUAUGGGUGUAUAUAGAUUUUGUAGUGAUAUAUGUUUUGGAUGUGGCAAGCCAGGCCAUAUGAUGAGGGAGUUUCCUAUAAGUAUAUAGAAGAGUAGGAAUAAUCGCCAGCACGGUCAGACUAACUCUUCAGCAGUGCUAGCAGGUCAUCCAACUCAGUAGGGUGCCACUUCUAGUGCCACCAGUGGAUAGCACCAAAAAAGUUGUAUGCACUUUAGUCCCAACAGGAUCACAAAAGUUCUCCUAAUAUGGUUAUGGGUACAUUACAUAUCUUUCACCUUUAUGUUUAUGCUUUAUUAGACCCCGGAGCUUCACUCUUCUUUGCAACCCCCAAUAUAGAUGUUGAUUUUGGUAUCAGUCCCAAAUUUUUAGUAGAACCUCUCUUAGUGUCUACUUUAGUAGGUGUCUCUAUUAUAGCCAGGAAUGUACACAAAAACUGUUCGAUCAUAAUAUCCUAGAAAGUCACCUCUAUUGAUCUUGUGGAGUUAGAGAUGACUGAUUUUGAUGUCAUUCUCGAUAUGGACUGGCUUCAUUUAUGUUAUACCUCAAUUGAUUACAGAAUUGAGUUGUUGAUUUUAGUUUCCUAAUGAACAAGUUAUUGAAUAGAGGGGUAGUACUUCAGUACUUAGGGGCUAAAUUAUGUUAUAUCUUAAGGCAAGAAAAAUAAUAUCUAAGGGUUGCAUGUACCAUCUUGUUUAAGUCAAAGACUCUAAUUCUGCAACUCCCAAUCUCGAGAUAAUUUUAGUAGUAAGGGAAUUUCCUAAUGAUUUCCCUGAUGAUGUUCUCGGAGUUCCUCCUAAAAGGGAAAUUGACUUCGAAAUAGAUCUCAUUCUGGAUGCCCAACCUAUUUCCAUUCUACCCUAUAGAAUAGCUCAAGUCGAGCUAAAAGAGUUGAAAGAGCAGUUGAAAGGGCUCUUAUGUUUGGGAUUCAUCAGACCCAGUAUUUUCCCAUGGGGCAUUCUAGUUCUUUUCGUGAGUAAGAAAAAUGGUUCUCUCAGAAUGUGCAUCAAUUACUGUCAGCUGAACAAGGUCACAAUCAAGAAUAAGUAUCCACUCCCUAAGAUUGAUGACUUGUUCGAUCAACUUCAGUGUGCCAGUUAUUUCUCUAAGAUAGACCUCAAAUAUGGAAAUCCUUAGCUCAGAUUCAAAGAAUAUUACAUUCCAAACAUAGCCUUCAGAACUUGGUAUGGUUACUUUGAAUUCCUAGUUAUGUAUUUUGGACUAACGAAUGACCUAGCAGCUUUCAUGGACUUGAUGAACAGGGUGUUCAAGCUGUACUUAGACAUGUUUGUCCUAGUCUUCAUUGAUGAUAUUUAUGACUAUUCACAUGUGAAAAUGAUCAUACAGACCAUCUCAGAAUUUUAUUGCAGACUCUAAGAACCCAUCAAUUAUUCGCCAAAUUCAAUAAGUAUAAGUUUUGGCUAAUAUCAGUAACUUUUCUUAGACAUAUUAUUUUUGGUGAUGGAAUUAGAGUUGACCGUUAAAAGACCCAAGUAGUGAGAAACUGGCCUAAACCUAUCUCUUCGUAAGAUAUUAGGAGUUUCUUAGGUUUGGUUGGCUAUUAUCGAUGCUGUGUUGAAGGGUUUUUGUAUAUUUCAUCCCCCAUGUCUCGAUUAACUCAGAAGAAAUUCAAGUUUCAGUGGUUAGAUUUUUAUGAGAAGAGUUUGGAGGAGUUUAAGACUCGACUUACCUCAACCCCAAUCUCAACUUUGGCAGAUGUUUCAGAUGGGUUUGUUGUUAAUUAUGAUGCUUCCAGAGUUGGUCUUGGUUGUGUAUUAAUGCAGAGAGAUAAGGCCAUAGCCUUUUCCUCUAGAAAACUUAAACCCCAUGAAAAAAAUUAUCCUACCCAUGACCUUGAGCUAGUAGCGGUGGUUUUUACCUUGAAACUUUUGAGGCAUUAUCCUUAUGGAGUUUAUAUUGAUGUGUUCACGGAUCACAAAAGUUUGCAAUAUGUGUUUUCAUAUAAGGAUGUAAAUCUUCAUCAGAUAAGGUGGCUUAAGUUAUUAGAAGAUUAUGAUAUAAGUGUGUUGUAUCACCCAUGCUAGGCCAAUAUGGUAACAGAUGCCCUUAGUAGAUUUUCUAUAGGUAGUGUUUCUCAUCUUGAGGAUGAGAAGAGAGAGUUAGUCAGAGAGGUUCAUCAGUUUGCUAGAUUAGGUGUUUGGUUGGUUCAUUCCACUGAGGGUACUAUAUGGGUUCAAAAUGGUUCAAAAUCUUGUUUGAUUUCCAAAGUGAAAGAAAAGCAAGAUAUAGAUCCUAGUUUUUUUAAGUUGAAGAAAUCAGUUAGAGAUCAGAAAGUAUAGGUUUUCUCCCAAGGAGAAGAUGCUGUGGUGCAUUGUCAGGGUAGGUUGUGUGUGCCAUGUGUUGAUGGUUUGAGACAGUGGAUAUUAGCAGAAACGGGUGGUGCACAUUACUCUUUACACCCAGAAGCCACGGAGAUGUACCAUGUGCAGGAAAUCUAUUAGUGGUGUAAAAUAAAGAAGGAUAUAGCAGAAUUUAUUGCUAUAUUCUAUAAUUGUCAGCAGGUUAAGGUUGAGCACCAAAGGCCUAGUGGCAUAUUGUAGGAUUUUAGCAUCCCCGCAUAGAAAUGGGAAGAGGUGAACAUAGAUUUUAUGAUGAGUUUGCCUCGUAUGUGUCAUUAUUAUGAUUCAAUAUGUGUGAUUAUGGACAAAAUGUCCAAAUCAACUAAUUUCUUGCCAGUUCAUACCUCUUAUUUAUUCAAGGACUAUGCCAAGCUCUAUAUUAGAGAGUUGGUUAGGUUGCAUGGAAUCUCGUUAUCUAAUAUUUAAGAUAGAGGUACUCAAUUUACCUCUUACUUUUGGAAAGCUUUUUAGAAGGGUCUUGGUACCCAAGUUCAUCUUAGUACAGAUUUUUAUCCUCAAAGGAAUGGUCAGGUAGAGAGGACCAUUCAAACCUUAGAGGUUAUGUUGAGAGCAUAUGUUAUUGACUUUAAAGAAAGUUAGUAUGAUCACUUAACUUUGAUUGAUUUUUUCUUUAGUUAAAAGUAUCACUCAAUUAUUCAGAUGGCUCCAUUUGAGGUUAUCUAUGGGAGGAGAUGUAGAUCUAUUAUUGGUUGGUUUGAGAUAGGUAAGGCUACUUUGAUAGAAAUAGAUUAGUGUUUGAUGCAAUGGAGAUGGUUUAUUUGAUUAAGGAGAGGAUUAAGAAAGCCCAAACCAUCAGAAAUCCUAUGCAAAUGUGAGGAGAAGAGAUCUUAAGUUUGAAGUUGGGGAUUUGGUGUAUUUGAUAUGCGUACCAAAUACCCUCGUCUUUUCUCAGCAAACUAACACUCAGCUUAAGUUAAUAGUUUUCCUUGGAUUGUUUCUUUUCCAUUCUCAGUUCCAUCUAUAUGAUUAUUCUCAUGUCAUUGCAUGAAUUCACAAAAUCAGUUCAGUUUAUAUAUCAUAUUUCAGACUUAAUUAUGUGUUCAUAUUUUCAGUCAUGCAUGUUCAGUAUAAGAUCUUAGUUCCUUCAGUACUCUCAACUAUAUUAGUCUCAUUCAAGGAUGAGUGUUCUCAAGGGAGAGAUAUUGUAAUGCCCUACAUUAUUCAUAGCUCAGUUUAGCUCCUACUUGUAUGCAUAAGAGGCUUAAAGCCAAAAAAUUUCACUAAGUGUUGGGGACUUAGUUAUUUUUAAGGUCUAUUAACUUUGAGGAAUUUUUAGUUGAUAUUCCCAACCCCGAGAUGCUGUUUUUGAGUUAAUUCAUGUUCAAGGUUAUAAGGUGCAUGUCUCGAAGAAGUUUUAGAUUAUUCAGAUGAGGAUUGGGUCAAGUUUGGAUCGAGAUUCCAGUAGCUCAUUACGAUAGCAUUGCAUCAUGGUAGUUGUAGUGAUAGAUUGCUCAUCGCAUCGUGGUGACAUAUUAAUUUUCAUUACCUUUACAAAUUUAAAUGUUUGAGGGGCAAUUGUGUCUUUUCCCCUCAACCUAAUUCGUAAAUUCAUGACUUAAAACUUCAAGUUAGGGAAUUAUUGCCUAUCUUCUUUAAUUUUCUCACAAAAACAAACCCUUUCCGCCCCUUAAGAUCAUCAAAUUCCAUUACUUUCCCUCCAAGAAAACCAAGAAUUCAAGUUUCCAAAUCCGAGAACAUUCAUGAAAGCAUCAAGAUUGGUGGUUCUCUUUAAAGCUUAAGGGUUUAAGGUAUCUAUGAUGUUCAUCCAUGGUCCCUUUUAACCCAUGGAGUCCAAGAAUCCUUUUUUAUGUUUUAAAUUAUGAAUUUUACAUGAUUAACUUGGAUUAUUCCCAUGAAUAUCUUGAAAUUUGAUUUCAAGUUAUGAUUACAUGUGUUUACGAUGGAAUGAGCCAGUGCAUGUUUUGAUUAUUGAACUCCUGUAAUUUAAAACCUUAAUUCAUGGUUUUAGUAUUGUAACUAUGCUUUUAAUUACAUUAUUUACCCAUUCCCAUGCUUAAGUUUAUGUUUUUCAGUUGGUUGAUGAAAUGCCUAAGUAUUGGGUUCUUGAACAAUGAUCCCUUAUUACAAUUUUUAAAGUUAUAUAUGCCCUUAUUUUUAUUUCUAUUCAGUGUUGGAGGGUUAUGAACAUCCGAUAUUUUACUAUUUAUAAAAUUUUAGUAUUCUUAGAAUGAUUUUAGAUAUACCAUGAGCAUUAUUAUUCAGUCAGUUAUUAUGAUCAGUUAUUUGUUCAGUUAAGAUUAGUUCAUCUAGUAAACAAUGUCUUUCAAUUGGGAGUAAAACUUAGCAUCGAGUGAACGUAGGGAUGACGUCUCCUCUAUCAGUUAGGCAUGAGUCACUUGUCUCCCCCAUCAAUUAGGCAUGAGACGUUAGUAUCAAUCCCUAAGUUCCAGACCUACGAUGCCACCAUACUGUUUGAGAGGUCCCCCAUCAGUCAGGUAUGACACCUUAGUCCUUUGGGGAAUCAGAUUAGUGGAUCCGUAUAGCUAGUGUUAGUACUCGUGGAACGAUAUUGAUACCCUUCCAACUGGUGUUAUAAGUUAGACCCCAACAAUAGAUUUGAGGCAUGUCAGUUAUAACUAGCUCCCAUAGUACAAUGUUUAGUAUAGUUUCAGUUUAGGAUUGCUUGACCAAAGCAUACAGAUUCUCAGUUAUUUAGUCAUAAGAUUUUAGUAUUUCAGUUUAUAAAUUAUUUUAGAAAUAUAUAUAUUCUUGGUCUUGCAUUCUCAGUUUUUCAGUUUUCAUGCAUGCUUACUCAGUUAUCUCAUAUUAUUCAAUUAGUCAGUAUUUCAUGUAUAGUUAGCCCAUGUAUAUUGGACUAACCUCAACUCAUAUACCAAUACAUUCAAAGUUCUUAUUGUAUAUUUUCUUCAUGCUAUAAUGUCCUAUAUCAUAGGUUUGGAUGCUCAAUUCCCCAAUCGCAGUUAAAUAUCCCAAUAUUGCUCAGUAGCAAUAGUGAUGAGUCCUUAUCUUUUGGGGAAAUGAUGGUUUAGUUUAGUUAGUUAGUAGUUUAGUACAUUCAGUCAGUCGGUGUUAAUUGGGGACUUGUCCUAUUAACUCUUUAGUCAAAUAGCUAGAGGCUUUUUAUAUAAUCAAACAUUUAGUUAGAUGGUUAUUCAGUUACCAGACCUUUCAGUAUUAUCAAUUGUUUUAAAUUUGACAGUUAUACUUUCAGAAUUCAGAUUGGCAUGACUAUGUUUCUCAGUAUAUCUUCCGCAUAUGCGUUUUGUUGUUAUUAUACUCAGUGGUCACGGCAGGUUCCAGCUCAUGGGUUAGCUUAUGGUCACUUGUGACCAUAAGAAUCAUUAUCUCAAAUAGGGGGUAGCCUCGGGUCGUGCCAAAAACUUGCUAUCAAAGCCUAAGUUUUCAGAGAGUCUUAAAGAGUCUAAAAAACUGCAUUGAGUAAAGUCUUGUCCAUGGGUGUGAAGCGUGCCACACUUAAGGACAAGAGGCUACAAGAUAUUUUAUGAAAAUUUUUCCUUAUUUUAGUAUUCAUGUCAUGCAAAUGAUGAUAAGAUCUGUUUAAAACUCUCUUUCUGACUUAGUCUUUCUUCCAUUUAUAGAUAAUGCCUCCCAAAAGAAAUAAUGGAAGAAGAAAUAGAAAUCAGACUGCACAUCUAUCUAUUUAGGAAGAUCCCCAAAAUGAGCACAUCUCUCAUGCUAAGUUUAGAGAUGCAUUCACUACCUUAGCUUAUUCAGUAGGUGCUCAGAACAAUCAGCAGGCUAUUUCCCCAGCUAAUCCAGUGGCAAAUAUAGCUACAUCUAGGAUUUGGGAUUUUACACAAAUGAAUCCCCCUUUGUUUUUGGGAUCUAAGUUUGAGGAGGAUCCGAAGGAAUUAUUUGAUAUGUUUUAGAAGGUGAUUGAUAUCAUAGGUGUUAAUUUGGGUAAGAGUACAGUGUUGGCUACUUAUUAGUUUCAGGAUGUAGCUUAUACGUGAUAUAACUAGUGGAAGGAUGAUAGGUGUGCUGAGGAAGGGGCUGUAGAGUGAGAGGAGUUUCCCACAUCCUUUUUAUAUAGGUUAUUUCCUUUAGAGUUAGGGGAAGCUAAGCUGAUGGAUUUUAUUAAUUUGAAGAAGGAUAAUAUGAGUGUGAUGGAAUAUUCACUUAAGUUUACUCAAUUGGCGAGGUAUGUUUCUUCGAUGGUGGCUGAUAAUAGGUCUAAAAUGAGUGAGUUUGUUUCUGGUGUAGCUAAUAGUAUGGUCAACGAGUGUAGGACUACUAUGUUGAUUAAGGAUAUGGACCUAUCUAGGCUUAUGGUUCAUGCUCAGUAGAUUGAGGAAAAAAAGCUUAAGAAGAAAGUAAGAGAAAGAGAAUACGAAGGCUAGAAAAGGCAGCUUUAGUUUUUCCCAGCAGAGGUUAGAAAGUGGUAACCAUUCUCAGUUCCAUCAAAAAUCUUUAGCCCCAGCUCUAUCUUAAGUCAGUGUGCCAGUGCCAAAGUUUUGGAAUGACAGUCACGAUAGAGCACCAGGCUCUAAAUCUUAGGGUAGCAUGAAUAGUAGUCAUACUAAUCUACUCUGCGGAAAGUGUAGCAGGAAUCAUCAGGGUGUGUGUAGAGCUGGUAGUGAUGUGUAUUUUAGAUAUGGCAAACCAGAUCAUAGGAUGAGGGAGUGACCUGUAAGUAUGUGGAAGGGUAGGAAUGAUCACUAGCAGGGUCAGACUAACUUUUCAGCAGUGCCAGCAGAUCAUCUAACUCAGCAAGGCGCCAUUUCCAGCGCCAGCCCUGGACAACACAAAAAUAGGUUAUAUGCACUUUACUCACGACAGGAUUAUGGAAGUUCUGCUGAUAUGGUUACGGGUAAUUAAAGGUUUUAAUCUUCAUGUUUAUAAUUUAUUAGACCCUAGAGCUUUUCUCUCUUUUAUAAACCCUUAUAUAGAAGUUGAUUUCGGUAUUAAUCCUGAAUAUUUAGCAUAACCCUUUUCAGUGUCUACUCCAGUAGGUGUCUCUAUUGUAGCCAGACAAGUAUACAGGAACUGUCCGGUCAUAAUAUCCCAAAAAGUAACCUCAGUUGACCUUAUGGAGUUAGAGAUGACUUAUUUUGAUGUCAUUCUUGGUAUGGAUUGGCUUCAUUUUUGUUAUUCCUCUGUUGAUUGCAGAAAUAGAGUCGUUGAGUUUUAGUUUCCUAAUGAACCAAUUAUUGAAUAGAGGGGUAGUACUUCAAUGCUUAGGGCGCAAAUAACGUCAUAUCUUAAGGCAAGUAAAAUAAUAUCUAAGAGGUGCAUGUACAAUCUUGUUUGAGUCAAAAACUCUAAUUCUGCGACUCCUAGUCCUAAGUCAAUUUUCGUAGUAAGGGAAUUUCCAAAUGUUUUCCCUGAAGAUCUUUUUGGAGUUCCUCCCAAGAGGGAAAUUGACUUAGGAAUAGAUCUCCUUCCAGAUACCCAGCCUAUCUCUAUUUCACCUUACAAAUUGACUCUAGCUAAGCUAAAAGAGUUAAAAGAGUAGUUGAAAGAGCUCUUAAACAAGGGAUUCAUCAGACCCAGUGUUUCCCCAUAGGGACCUCCAGCCCUUUUCGAGCGUAAUAUAGAUGUUUCGCUCAAAAUGUGCAUCGAUUAUUGUCUGUUGAAUAAGUUCACAAUCAAGAAUAAGUAUCAACUCCCAAGGAUUGAUGACUUCUUCGACCAACUUUAGGGUGGCAAUUAUUUCUCUAAGAUAGACCUCAAAUCUGACUAUCAUUAGCUCAGAGUCAGAGAAUGCAACAUUCCAAAGACAACCUUUAGAACUAGGUAUGGUCACUUUAAAUUCCUAGUUAUGUCUUUUGGACUAACGAAUGUCCUAGCAGUUUUCAUGGACUUGAUGAAUAGGGUGUUCAACUAGUACUUGGAUAUGUCUAUCAUAGUCUUUAUUAAUGAUAUUCUUGUCUAUUCCCAUAGUGAAAAUAAUCGUGCAAACCAUCUCAAAAUUGUAUUGUAGACUCUUAGAGCCCAUAAGUUAUUUGCCAAAUUCAGUAAAUAUGAUUUUUCGCAAAGAUCAAUAGCUUUCUUGGCCAUAUUAUUUCCGGUGAUGGCAUUAAAGUUGACCCUCAAAAGACCAAAGUAGUGACAAACUAGCCCAGACCUAUCUCUUUUUCAGAUAUCAGGAGUUUCUUGGGUUUGGCUGGCUAUUACCAAUGGUUUGUUGAAGGCUUUUCAACUAUUGCAUCCCUCAUGUCUCGAUUGACUCAGAAGAACGUCAUGUUUCAGUGGUCAGAUUCUUAUAAGAAGUGUUUUCAGGAGUUAAAAACUUGAGUUACCUCAGCCUCAAUCUUGACUUUACCAGAUGGUUGAGAUGGGUUUAUUGUUUACUGUGAUUCUUCUAGAGUUGGUCUUGGUUGUGUAUUGAUGCUGAGAGGUAAGGUCAUAGCCUAUGACUCUAGACAGCUUAAAUCUAAUGAAAAGAAUUAUCCUGCCCAUAACCUUGAGUUGGCAGCAGUGGUUUUUGCCUUAAAAAUUUGGAGGCAUUAUCCUUAUGGAGUUCAAGUUGAUCUAUUCACAGAUCAUAAAAGUUUGUAGUAAGUAUUGUCGCAGAAGGAUUUAAAUCUUCAGCAGAGAAGGUGUCUUGAGUUGUUAAAAGAUUAUGAUACGAGUUUGUUCUAUCACUCAGGCAAGGCUAAUGUGGUGUCAGAUGCCCUUAGUAGAUUGUCUAUCGGUAGUGUUGCUCAUGUUGAGGAUGAUAAGAGAGAGCUAGUUAGAGAGGUUUAUCAGCUUGCUAAAUUAGGUGUUUGGUUGGUUGAUUUAGCUGAGGGUAGUAUAUGGGUUUAGAAUGGCUCAGAAUUUUCUUUGGUUGUUGAAGUGAAAGAAAAACAAGAUAAGGAUCCUAGUUUAGUUAAGUUGAAGGAAUUAGUUUGAGAUCAGAAAGUAGAGGUUUUCUCCCAAGGGGGAGAUAGUGUGUUACAUUGUUAGGGUAGGCUGUGUGUAUCGUGGGUUGAUUGUUUAAGACAGUGGAUUUUGUGAUAAGCACAUGGUGCAUGUUGAAAUUUACACCCAGGAGCCACGAAGAUGUAUCAUGAUUUAAGGGAAAUCUAUUGGUGAAGCGGUAUGAAGAGGGAUAUUUCAGAGUUUGUUAUGACGUUCUCUAAUAGUGAGUAGGUUAAGGUUGAGCACCACAGGCCAGUGGCAUAUUGUAGGAUUUUAGAAUCCUCACUUGGAAGUGGGAAGAGGUGAACACGAAUUUUGUGAUGGGUUUGCCUCCUACACAUUUUUAGCAUCAUUCAAUAUGGGUGAUUAUGGAUAGAAUAACUAAAUCUGCUUAUUUCUUUCUUUCAUCCUCAAACUGAUGGUCAGGCAGAGAGGACCAUUCAAACCUUAGAGGUCAUGUUGAGAGAAUGUGUUAUUGACUUUAAAGGAAGUUAGGAUGAUCACUUAUCUUUAAUCGAGUUUUCCAGUAAUAAAAGUUAUCACUCCAUUAUUCAGAUAGCUCCAUUUGAGGAUCGCUAUGGGAUGAGAUAUAGAUCUACUAUUGGUUGGUUUGAGGCAGGUGAGGUUUCUGUGAUAAAAAUAGAUUCGGUGUUUGAUGUAAUGAAGAAGGUUCAAUUGAUUAGGGAGAGGCUUAAGAUAGCCCAAAGCCAUUAGAAAUCCUAAGCAGAUGUGAGGAGAAAAGAUCUUGAGUUUGAAGUUGGGGAUUCGGUGCAUUUAAAAAUCUCGCCCAUGAAGUGAUUGAAGAGUUUUGGCAAGAAAGGGAAGCUUAGUCUCCGAAUGUUGGCCCUUACAAAAUUUUGAGCCAUUUUAGAAAGGUAGAUUAUGAGCUUGAGUUGCCUGUAGAUUUGGCAUUAGUGCAUCAAUUGUUUCAUGUUUCCUUGUUAAAGAAGUGUAUUGAUGAUCCAGCUGUUAUAGUUCCACUAGAAAGCACAGAUGUUUUGGAUAACUGUCGAGAUCCUUAAUAGUCAUAUUCGUAAUCUAAGGAACAAAGAAGUUCCCUUGGUCAAAGUUCUUUGGUAGAUUCAGUCCGUUAUGGGAGCCACUUGAGAAACAUAGGCAGAUAUGCGUACCAAGUACCCUCAUCUUUUCUCCGCACACUUAGACUCAUCUUAAGGUAACAAUUUUCCUUAGAUUGUUUCUUUUCCAUUCUUAGUUCCAGCUAUGUGAUUACUCUCAUGUUAUUGGAUGCAUUCACGAAAUUAGUUCUAUUCAUAUAUCAUUUUUAAGACUCAAUUAUGUAUUCAUAUUUUAAGUCAUGCAUGUUUAGUAUAUGAUCUCACUUUCUUCAGUACUCUCAGCUAAACCAAUUUCAUUCGAGGACGAAUGCUCCCAAAGCGGUGAUAUUGUAAUACUCCAUAUUAUUCUUAGCUCAGUUCAGCUCCUACUUGUAUGUAUAAGAGGCUUAAAGCCUGAAAAUUUCACUAAGUAUUGGGGACUUAGUCAUUUUUAAGGCAUCUUAACUUUGAGGAUUUUUAAGUUGAUCUUCCCUACCCUGAGAUAUUGGUUUAUGAGUUAAUUCAUGUUCAGAGGUGUAAGGUGCAUGUCUCAGACAAGUUUUAGAUUUAUUGGACAAGGAUUGGCUCAUGUUUGGAUCAUGAUUCCCGCAGUUCAUCGUGAUAGCAUCGCAUCACGGUGGUUUUCACGAUGGAGUGCUCGUCGCAUCGAGGUGAUAUAUUUAUCUGUAUUCCAAUUACGAAUUUAAUUGUCUGAGGGGCAAUUAUGUCUUUUCCCCUCAACCUAAUUCCUAAAUUGAUGACUUAAAGCUUCAGUUAAGGAAUUAUUUACCCAUCUUCUCUAAUUUUCUCUAAAAUACAAAACCUCUCCUCCCCAAGGUCAUCAAAUUCCAUUACUUUCCCUCCAAGAAAACUAAGAAUUCAAGUUCCCCAAUCCAAGAACAUUCAAGAAUGCAUCAAGUUGGUGUUUCUGUUUCAAGUUUAAGGGUUUAAGGUGUGUGUGACAUUCAUCCAUGGGCCCUUUUCACCCAUGGAGUCCAAGAAUCCCUUUUUAAGUUUUAAAUUAGGAAUUUUACAUGAUUAAGUUGAAUUAUGCCCAUGAAUAUAUUGAAAUUUGAUUUCAAGUUAUGAUUACAUGUGUUUUUGAUGGAAUAAGCCAGUGCAUGUUUUUAAUAUUGAACUCUUGUAAUUUUAAACCUUAAUUCAAGGUUUUAGUAUUGUAACUAUACUUUUAAUUGGAUGCUUUACCCAUUCCCAUGCUUAAAUUUAUUCUCUCCAUGUGUUUCAUGAAAUGCCUAAGUGUUAGGUUUUUGAACAAUGAUCCUUUAUUAUGGUUUUUAAAGUUAUAUAUACCCUUAUUGUUACUUUCAUUCAGUGUUGGAGGGUUAUGAACACAAGCUACUUAGUUGUUUACAAAAUUUUAGUAUUUUCAGAAUGAUUUUAGAUAUAACAUGAGCAUUAUCAUUCAGUCAGUUAUUAUGAUCAGUUUUUGGUUCAAUUAACCUUUGUUCAGUCCAAUAAAUAGUGUCUUUAGUUGGGAGUAAAACUUAGCACUGAGUGAACGUAGGGAUAGUGUUUCCCUCGUCAGUUAGGCAUGAGGCACUUGUCUCCCCCGUCAGUUAGGCAUGAGACAUUAGUAGAAAUCCUUAAGUUCCAUACAUACGGUGCCAUCAUAGACUUUGAGUGGUCCCCCGUCAGUUAGGAAUGACACCCUAGUCCUUCAGGACAUCAGAUUAGUGGAUCCAUAUAGCCAAUAUUAGUACUCGUGGCAUAGUACUGACACCCUUCCAACUAGGGUUAUAAUUUGGACCGUAACAUUAGAUUUGGGGCAUGUCAAUUAUAGCUAGCUCCCAAAUUCUUAGUACAAUAUUCAGUAUAGUUUUAGUUCAGGUUUGCUUGACCAAAGCAUACAGAUUCUCAUCUAUUAAGUUAUUAAAUUUCAGUAUUUCAAUUUAUAGGUUAUUUUGGAAAUGUAUAUGCUUGGCCUUGCAUUCUGAGUAUUUCAGUUUUCAUGCAUGCUUACUCAGUUAUCUCAUAUUAUUCAGUCAGUCAUAAUUCUAUGCACAGUUAGCCAAUGUAUAUCGACCUAACCUCAUUUUACAUACCGGUACAUUCAAAGUACUGAACACAUAUUUUCUUCACACUAUGAUGUCUUAUAUCAUAGGUUUGGAUGCUCAGUGUCCCAAUCGCAGUUAACCAUCUGAGUAUUACUCAGUAACAGUAGAGGCGAGUCCUCACCUUUCGGGGACAUGAUUGUUUAUUUCAGUUAUUUAGUCAUUCAGUACAUUCAAUCAGUCGGAGUUAGUUGGGGACUUAUCCCAUCAAAUCCUUAGUCAGACAGCUAGAGGCUUUUUAGACAAUCAGACAGUCAGUUAGAUGGUUAUUAGUUACUAAACCUUUUAGUAUUAUUAGUUGUUUCAAAUUCGAUAGUUAUACUUUUAGUGUUAAGCAUGACUAUGUUUCUCAAUAUAUCUUCCGUUUAUGUGUUUUGUUGCUAUUAUACUCGAUGCUCACAGCAGUACCAUCUCAUAGGUUAGCAUGUGUUCAGUUGUGAUCGUAUGCACCAUCGUUGCAACUCGAGGGUAGCCUAGGGUUGUGACAGGUUUGCAGUUCUCUCUAAGUAAAAAUUCUUUGUUUAUUAAAUCAUUUUGAAAUUUAGUAAUACAUAGUACUAUAGCCAAAAUUUCUUUUUUAAUAGUACCAUAAUUUUUUUGAGUAUCAUUCCAGAUUCCCUACGUGAAUCUUACUAAUUGUUCAAUGGAAUCUAUGGAAAUUCUCUGUUUAUGAAUACCUCCAUAUCCUUUGUCCGAGGCAUCAGUUUCUACAAUCAUAAGAGGCCCCAGGUGCGGUAUCCCUAGACAUGGAUGUUUUUGAACUAUUGAUUUGAUUUUUUGAACUGUAUUAUUGUACUCUAUUCCUUAAGACACUAGAUUUUUCUUAAGACGUUGAUAAAGAGGCUUACAAACUUUUCUAAGAUUAGGAAUAAAAUUUGCAACAUAGUUGACACUUUUUAAAAAUCUUUGAAGCUGAGUUUUAUCAGUUAAUUAAUCUAGAAACUUAGAGGAGAACUCUAUGGCUCUACAAAUAGGUUUAUAGGUUCCUUUACGUAAAUCAUGAACGAGAAAUCUAAUAGAGAUUUAGAAUAAUUUAAUCUUUUUAGCACUAACUACAAGUCCAUUUUGUUUGAUAAUUCUUAAAAAGGUUUGCAGAUGUUUAAAGUAUUGGUCAAUAUCUUCUGAAAAUAUUAAAACAUCAUCUAUAUAGACUAUAGAUAUAUGACUAUAUUGAUUGAAUAUAUUAUUCAUCAUAUUCUGAAAUUCAGAUGGAGCAUUUUUUAGUCCAAAAGGCAUUAUAUUUCAUUCAUACUGUCCCAAAGAAAAAUUGAAGGCUAUUUUAUAUUUAUCUUUUUCUGCAAUUUGUAUUUGCCAAAAUCCUGAUUUCGUAUCGAACUUGCUAUAAAUAUUAGCUAUAUAAGUUCUUUAAGAAAGUAACAUUUGUUAGGUAUCAGGUACCUAAUUCAUUUAAUACUUUGUUAAGAGUCUUAUAAUUGAUAACUAGUCUUGGAGCACCUCUUUCUUUUCAGCACUAUCAUUGACAUAAAAGGCUAAACAACUCCGAAGCAAUUUAGAAUUUCUAAUAACUUUUUUUUAUCUUAUUUGUCGUUAAUUUCCCUUUUACAGUAUUCCAUUAAUUCAUGGUUCAUUUUAAUGGAUCUUUCUUUGGAUGUAAUAACCCUUUCAUCAAAUCCAUCAACAUAGGGUAAUUCAACAAUAUGCCUUUUUCUUUUUCAAAAGGAAUUAGGAAAAUUUGAGCAAACUUCCUGUUCUAUGACUUUCUGUAGACUUUUAAUUUUUGCUUAUACUUCUAGUGUUUUUAAAGAGGAUUCAAUUAUUUUAAUUUUUAUUUCAUCUUUUAAAUAUUUUAUUUGUUGUGAAAUUAAAUUGAUUGUGAAGAUCAUUUUCUUUUUUAUAAUGUCACUUUCUUCUUUUGAUAAACUAUUUAGAUAAGGAAAAAUAAUCUUUUUCCCAAAAUAGUGGUGUGGAAAUCGUUGAAUUCAAUAGUCUAAGAUUUUAUUUUGAUUUAUAAAAGAUAGACCUAAAAUUACCUCUUCAGUUAUAUCUUUGGUUAUUACCAAGUAAUUUAGGAAACAAAUUCCAUCAUUGCAAAUGUGAGCAUUGUGCAGUUUAUAAUUUAUUUUUAAUUUUUCGCCGAUUGUAGAGAAUAAUUUUGUAGUACCUUUUUCAAGAUAUUUAGUGGGGAUCAUUCCUUCAGUGAUGCAAUUUUGAUAAGCUCCUGUAACUAUUAAUCCCACUAGGUGAAUUAUGUAAUUUUUAUUUAUAACUAAAGUAAUGGGUAUAUGGUAACUUUGUGCUUUAUAUUUUAUGAUUUUGUCAAUUUUUGAUUGAUUUUUUGGAGAUUUAAUAUCUUUAUUAUUCCAUUCUAUUUUUUAUAUCUUUCCAAGUUCUAAUUGACAUGAUUCUAAUUUUUGAUUAGAAGUUAAAUUGUUAGUAUGAGCAAGUGAUUCAUUGCUAAAUCCCUACUUAAUUUUUUUAGCUUCCAUUUUAAAGUAUUAUAACUCUAUUUGAAGGUCUUCUAUAGUUAUUUCUGAUUUAUGUUCUUUAAAAUUAAUUGUCAUGUCCUUCAUGUUAAGGAGUUUUUUUUUUUAUCAAACUAUUGAUUCACAACAAUAUUUUUUAAUUCAAUUAGAUAUUUCCUCUUAAGGGUUGGAUCUUCUAAAUGAUUGAUUAUAUUAAAUACGACUUCUUUAUCCUUGUUACUAUUGGUAAUAACAUUUAUAGAACGAUUAUUGCAAGUGCAAUGUGUACCGGUGCAUUUGAAAUGGUUAGCUAAUUCAUUACUGUUAAAGCUAUUAAGAUUUUGUUUAGAAGAGGAAUCAUUUUCAUUUUUUUAUAAAGUUCUUAUAAUCUUACCAUUUGAGAUUUUUAAUUGAGAUUUUAAUCAUUCAUUAAUUUUUCCUAAAAUAUCAUCUGCUAUUUCAAAAUUUUCUUCAAAUUUAGGAAAUUUAUCAUUUGAGAAUUUGGGUAAUUUAAAUAUUGAGUGAGUUUCCAACUUUUUAUCAUAAUGAGAAGAAUUUGGUUUAUGUUUAAAAGUUGAUUUAUUCUGGGCUUCGAGAAUCUGUUUAGAUACUAUAUGUAAUAAUUGAUUGGUAUAAUUAUUUUAUUGAAGUAUUUUAUUUAUAUCCUUAUUUGUAGGAUCACCUUUAGUAUCUAAUAUAUCUAAUUUAAAGUGUGAAGCAGUAACAAUUCUACCAUCUACUGGUAGACUAAUUUCUUCUAAUGGAGGAAUUACUUAUUCUACAACUUUAUCACUGGCAUACCAUUUAUUAACAAGCAUAUUUAAUGAUUCCUUUUGAUCAUCUAACUUUCCUGUAAUUUCAAACCAUUUAAAAAAUUCGAUAUUAUAUCUUAAUAUUUUCAUGUCAUUGCACUAUUUUUCUCUAAAAGAAUAUCUUUCUUUUAAUGAAUAUCUUUGUUUAUACCAUUCCUUCUUAAUAUAAUUUUCUGGGCUAUUUUAAAAUUUAUCUAAAUAUUCAAAGUUAGGUUCAAAUAUUAAAUCUAACCUAAUCUUGUAUAGGGAAUCUCUUUCUCCUAGCAUUUCACUAGCAGUGGGACUUAUUGAUUUUUUAGAUUUUAAAUUUGUAGAUUUAUAUUCUACUUUGGGAAUUAUUUUUGAGAAAUGAACUCCUUUUAAUUUUCUUUCAAUAUCUUUUAAUGUUACUUCCAUUUCUUCUGCAGACUUGGAGACUGAAGGUCUAGAAAAGGAC